rnacentral:sRNA from 2 species
UGAAAAGAUAGGCGAAGUGGUGCAGUAUCCUAGUCAGAGGUGCCAAUCCUGAAGACGGGCCUAAAAACCCGUCAAGGGCACAUCGAUGAAGUUCCUGGUGCUGGCUUCUGACGCCCAGUUGGGGGCUGGUGCUGGGAGUUAAGGAGGGGGGGCGAUCCACAAGGGCAUGUGGGCGUUGACCCUUCCUCCGCGGAGACCUACUGCUGUGGCUCUCUUCGAGAGCUAUGGGGUAGGCAGAACCUGUCUCGUGGCCAGCAAGCUGCGGACAGUGUAGCCCGCCUUGAGUGAUCCGGGGGGAAAUCAGCCAUUGGCUGAUGAAACCCGGGUUGCAAAAGAGGCUAGGGAUUGGGCCCUCUGGUGAGGAAAGCUCCUAGGCUGUGCCCGAAAGGGCGGCAUAUUGGGGAUUACAGUGCGGUCUAAGUGGCAGUCCAGUCCUGCCUAUGGCGACAAGGCAGAAGCGGGCUUAAAGGGGAACCGCUGAACGGCGACGUUCAGUGCCUGCUUGGGAAAUCCUACUGGACCUAAGCCGCAAGGUUUACCCAAUAUGCUACCACUUCGCCUUUUUCUAGG